rnacentral:ncRNA from 1 species
UGACCCCAUCUUAGGCGAGAACACCCACUGAGUUUAAGCAUAUAAUUAAGUGGAGGAAAAUAAACUUAAAAGGAUUCCCCUAAUAACGACAAGCGAAUCGGGAAGAGACCAACAUGAAAAUCAGGUGGCAGCACUACCUGAAUUGUAGUCUAUAUAAGCGUCCUUAGCAAUGGACUGGGCCCAAGUCCCCUGGAAGGGGGCACCUGAGAGGGUGACAACCCCGUUGGGCCGGGACCCUGUCGCACCACGAGGCUUUGUCAACGAGUUGGGUUGUUUGGGAAUGCAACACUAAUCGGGUGGUAAAUUUCGUCCAAGGCUAAAUAUGGGCGAGAGACCAAUAGAAAACAAGUACCGCGAGGGAAAGAUGAAAAGGACUUUGAAAAUAGAGUUAAAAAGUGCUUGAAAUUGCUAGGAGGGAAGCGGAUGGAGGCUAUCGAUGCAUCUUGGUCGGAUGUGGAAUGGCUCAAGUUGGUCCACCGCUCGACUCGAGGUGCGAAUCAACACAAGCUGUUGCAUCGACACAAGCACGGAUGGAGUACUGCCUAUUGGUUUUCUGUUGUGGCGGUCAAGGAGAGGAGAAAUCAAGGGAUUCCACCAACACUCAUUUAAAUUUAUUUUUAAUCGCUUGCCAAUACUUCUUUUAGUUUGUUGAUAUUGAGCUUGCACAUGAGGUAGUUUAUAUCUAUGAGGAUUUAGGAUCAAUUUUUCAAGCCUGAAUUUGAUGUGUAAAUAUUUAUGAAGGUAUUAGAUCCCUUAAUGACUCCUUAGAACUAUUGAUGAGUUGAAUAAGUUUUGAAAUCACCAAGCAACCAUGCAGGAAACUCAAUGUUUCAUAGAAUAAGAAAUUAAUUUUUUUUUAUGAUUUUAAAAGUUAGUAAUUGAACCUUCAUCAUUGAAGUAAGAAAAUAAAGGUGUCAAUUGUUUUGUAUAUUUGGAUAAUUUAGCCAAGAAAAGGAAACUUUCUAGGUUGG